rnacentral:rRNA from 1 species
AUUGAACGCUGGCGGCAGGCCUAACACAUGCAAGUCGAACGGAGCGGCGGACGGGUGGGUGAUGCCUAUGUCUCUGCCUGGUAGUGGGGGAUAGCGACCGGAAACGGGCGCUAAUACCGCAUACUCUCAGUUGAGCCUAGGUCGGAUUAGCUAGUUGGUGGGGUAAAGGCCUACCAAGGCGACGAUCCGUAACUGGUCUGAGAGGAUGAUCAGUCACACUGGAACUGAGACACGGUCCAGACGCCUACGGGAGGCAGCAGUGGGGAAUAUUGCACAAUGGGCGCAAGCCUGAUCCAGCCAUGCCGCGUGUGUGAAGAAGGCCUUCGGAUUGUAAAGCACUUUAAGUUGGGAGGCGUUACCAACAGAAGAAGCACCGGCUAACUUCGUGCCAGCAGCCGCGGUAAUUC